AUGCAGAUCCCCAGAAGUUGUGCAUUUGUUCCAUGGAGAGAGUUGACAUCUUGGAAAUCAAAGACGGUUGUGAUGCAGUUUAUUGAUAUGAGGAUAACAGGAAGCGUCAGGACAAUCAUGCCCAUGAGAACUCUAAACCAUUCAGGCCAUUUUAUUUUAGAGAAACUGGCAAUUGAACUUUGCUAUAGUUGAUGGGCAAAAUUUCUUCCAGACUAUUCAUCAUCCUAGUUUCAUCCUAGUUGAAAAUAUUCAGAUGCCAUAAGAAAUCUUUGUAGAUUUGCACUUAGUUUUUGGAUGGAYGUUUCUAUGAUGGAAAGAACUGUGUUAUAGCCUGGUACAAGGACAUACCCAUCCGAUGCCUAUUGACUACGGUGUAGGUGUGGGAGGUUCCAAAGAGAAGGGGCAGUCAGCAAGCUUGCAGACACUCUGGAACAUGAGAGCGCCCAAGCUUUAAAAAGCACAGCAUUGAGACACUCCAUGAGUCUGCACGGCUUUCAGGCAAACUAGCAC
rnacentral:lncRNA from 1 species